rnacentral:rRNA from 1 species
AACGAACGCUGGCGGCGUGCCUAACACAUGCAAGUCGAACGUGAUUGAGAGCUUGCUCUCAUGAAAGUGGCGCAUGGGUGAGUAACGCGUAGAUAAUCUACCUGAUGAUCCGGGAUAACACUUCGAAAGGGGUGCUAAUACCUGAUAAGCCCACGGAGUCCUUGGAUUCUGCGGGAAAAGAGGGGGACCUUCGGGCCUCUCGUCAUCAGAUGAGUCUGCGUACCAUUAGCUAGUUGGUAGGGUAAAGGCCUACCAAGGCGACGAUGGUUAGCUGGUCUGAGAGGAUGAUCAGCCACACUGGAACUGAGACACGGUCCAGACUCCUACGGGAGGCAGCAGUGGGGAAUUUUGCGCAAUGGGGGAAACCCUGACGCAGCAACGCCGCGUGAGUGAUGAAGGCCCUUGGGUCGUAAAGCUCUGUCAGAGGGAAAGAAAUGUGUGCGGCUAAUAUCCGUUGCACUUGACGGUACCCUCAAAGGAAGCACCGGCUAACUCCGUGCCAGCCGCCGCGGUAAGAC